UGCAAACCUAAACAAAACAAUAAAGGUAGAAAAGUUAGAGAGAAGCAAAUAAUAUUAUUUUCCUAAUGCAAGACUUUUCUGGGAUAUUGUUUUCUUCCCCAUAGAUCAGGUAAAAAAACUCUCACAACCCAGUUUGGAAGUAAAUUGGUUUUGCCUACCUGUGUGCUCUGUACAAAAGACAGAAACUAACAGAAGAACAGUAUAAAACUUACAAAAUCAAUCACAAAAAAAAGAAACCAAACCAAAACAAACCCCCCCAAGUUUUAGAAUCACGGGGACCUGUGCUAACCUGUUGUUAUUGCCUCCUUAAAAGUACAGCUGUAAUACGUGUGUGUGUAUGUGCCUCCUUAUCAGCACAAGAUAAAGGUUAUUUGCUGUCAACACCACUUACCAAGACCAUUACUUCUGAAGGCAUCACAGGGCCUGUGUGCAUGGCCGUGCAAGCAACCAUUUCAUAAAGCUAAGAACAGCUAUAGUUUCUGAAGCACACACACGAGGGGACGCUUUUUCCCUAACAUAAGCCUGACGAGAUCCAGACUGAUUUUCAGGGCAAUUUUCAAGAAUGUGGUUCUGAUAGACAUCACUAUUCACAAGCACAUCGACUGAACAUCUAAGACACAGAAGAUGCCUGCUUGAAUAAAGAUCAGGACUAUGCACAACUUGCACUCUAUAUUCAGGAUUGUUCAUCCUUUGAUUGGGGCUGGGAAUCCACAAAUGUCAGUCUACUAACUGGGACAGAAAGUAUCAGCAACCUACCAGUGCCUCCCUCUUUCCCUUCGCCAACUGCUUCCCUGGGGUUUGGCAGGGAGAAGGAAAGAGAGGGAGAGCUGAACGGAAGAGAUGACUGACAGGGGCAGCGCGUGCAUGCCUGUAGCAUUAGCUCUAUUGCCCUGGCGACUGUCAACAUUCUGCUUUGCCCUUACACGGUACA